UACGAAGGGUGCAAGCGUUAAUCGGAAUUACUGGGCGUAAAGCGUGCGUAGGCGGGUCGUUAAGUCGGGGGUGAAAUCCUGGAGCUCAACUCCAGAACUGCCUUCGAUACUGGCGACCUUGAGUCCGGGAGAGGUGAGUGGAACUCCGAGUGUAGAGGUGAAAUUCGUAGAUAUUCGGAAGAACACCAGUGGCGAAGGCGGCUCACUGGCCCGGUACUGACGCUGAGGUGCGAAAGCGUGGGGAGCAAACAGG
rnacentral:rRNA from 1 species